rnacentral:rRNA from 1 species
CGGACGGGUGAGUAACGCGUAAGAACUUGCCCUUUAGACUGGGAUAACAGAGGGAAACUUCUGAUAAUACUGGAUAAGUUAGUAUAUCGCAUGAUAUGCAAAUGAAAGCUACGGCACUAAAGGAGAGCUUUGCGUCCUAUUAGCUAGUUGGUAAGGUAAGAGCUUACCAAGGCGAUGAUAGGUAGCCGGCCUGAGAGGGUGGACGGCCACAAGGGGACUGAGAUACGGCCCUUACUCCUACGGGAGGCAGCAGCC